AUAUUGGACAAUGGGGGCAACCCUGAUCCAGCCAUGCCGCGUGUGUGAAGAAGGUCUUCGGAUUGUAAAGCACUUUCAGUUGGGAGGAAGGUCUUUAGGCUAAUACCCUGAAGUUUUGACGUUACCAACAGAAUAAGAACCGGCUAACUCUGUGCCAGCAGCCGCGGUAAUACAGAGGGUGCAAGCGUUAAACGGAAUUACUGGGCGUAAAGCGCCGUUAGGUAGUUCAGUAAGAUGGGUGUGAAAUCCCCGGGCUUAACCUUGGAACUGCUUUCAUAACUGCUGAGCUAGAGUACGGUAGAGGGUAAUGGAAUUUCCUGUGUAGCGGUGAAAUGCGUAGAUAUAAGAAGGAACACCAGUGGCGAAGGCGACUACCUGGACUGAUACUGACACUGAGGUGCGAAAGCGUGGGGAGCAAAC
rnacentral:rRNA from 1 species